CCCUGAACCACCCUGGGUGCACCUGAUCUUGUCUGAUGUCAGAAGCUAAGCAGGGUCGGGCCUGGUUAGUACCUGGAAGGGAGAACAAGGUCCCUGGAUGCAGGUACAGGGA
rnacentral:rRNA from 1 species